GAUGAAGAACGUAGCGAAAUGCGAUAAGUAGUGUGAAUUGCAGAAUUCAGUGAAUCAUCGAAUCUUUGAACGCACAUUGCGCCCCUUGGUAUUCCAUGGGGCAUGCCUGUUCGAGCGUCAUUUGUACCUUCAAGCUUUGCUUGGUGUUGGGUGUUUGUCCUGAGGGACUCGCCUUAAAGUAAUUGGCAGCCAGUGUUUUGGUUUUGAAGCGCAGCACAAGUCGCGAUUCAAGGCUAUACGUCAGCUUCCACUAGCCUUUUUUCACUUUUGACCUCGGAUCAGGUAGGGAUACCCGCUGAACUUAAGCAUAUCAAUAAGCGGAGGA
rnacentral:misc_RNA from 1 species